rnacentral:rRNA from 1 species
GUGGGGAAUCUUGCGCAAUGGGCGAAAGCCUGACGCAGCCAUGCCGCGUGAAUGAUGAAGGUCUUAGGAUUGUAAAAUUCUUUCACCGGGGACGAUAAUGACGGUACCCGGAGAAGAAGCCCCGGCUAACUUCGUGCCAGCAGCCGCGGUAAUACGAAGGGGGCUAGCGUUGCUCGGCAUUACUGGGCGUAAAGGGCGCGUAGGCGGACAGCUUAGUCAGAGGUGAAAGCCCAGGGCUCAACCUUGGAAUUGCCUUUGAUACUGGCUAUCUUGAGUUUGGGAGAGGUGAGUGGAACUCCGAGUGUAGAGGUGAAAUUCGUAGAUAUUCGGAAGAACACCAGUGGCGAAGGCGACUCACUGGCCCAAUACUGACGCUGAGGCGCGAAAGCGUGGGGAGCAAACAGGAUUAGAUACCCCAGUAGUCC